UUGCAUGUAUUCCUGCCGAGUGUGACUGAGUGACAUGUUAAUGGUUAACCAGUGUUAUUGAGGGAAGGGUUCACUGGAGUAGCAAGCAGAAGCAGCCAUUUUAGCUGCACAGACUGUUAACUGGCAGCUUAUAUCUCUACCAGGCUGGCUGUGGAAGAACAGCUGCCAUGGUGACGCUGAAUCACUUGACUGUAGAGGACCCAGACGAUGGCUCUCCACUGCUGCCCGAGGCUGCGGAGGCGGCAACACCAACGCCUGUCUUUCACAGACAGCGAGGUGUCACAAAGACUGACUCCAGGGAAUUUUUCCUCAGCAGGAGUGAGAACCUUGCCUUCAGUCUGACGCUGCUUAUCAUAUGCUACUUGGCUAUUCUGAUUCCUGCAUAUUUCCCCUUGGAUAACGUGGAAACUCUCAGUGAAGACAACCCGCAUCCCAAAGAUCUGGUCUUACUAAAUCAGUCAGCCUCCCUGCUGUCCGGUCCAUGUCAGCCUCGCUGGUGUCUGAACCACCUCAAGCCCCUGUCGUGUUCUGCAAGCCUCCUGGACAUCCCUGUGUUUGUGCAGCAGGACAGGCCUGUGCCCUGGGAUCUGUCCCCUCCUCUGGGGCUCCUGGGCAGUGAAGAACCUCUGGCCCUGGCUCUUGCCUCUCUGCCUCAGCCUGGCCUGCCUCCAUCACUGAGGGGAGAAGGCAGCUGCAGACGAUGCGUGGUGGUAGGCAAUGGAGGGGUUCUUCACGGGAGCCAUCUUGGAUCCCAUAUAGAUCAGUACGACAUCAUCAUCAGGCUGAAUAAUGCUCCAGUGUCUGGCUUUGAGAGAGACGCUGGUUUACGUACCACCAUCCGCCUGAUUUACCCAGAGGGAGCACCUCACUCUGAAAGCGACUACAAAAAUACCACCAUGGUUGCUCUGGUGGUCUUUAAGAGCCUGGAUCUAGACUGGCUCACUUCUGUAAUCACCAAAAAGCCUCUGAGCUUCUGGUCCAAACUGUGGUUCUGGAGGGAGGUGGUGGAUGACAUUCCCCUGAAACCAGAGAACUUCAGGAUCCUCCACCCGGAGAUUAUUCACAAGACAGGACAAGUUCUACAGAAAUAUGCUCUGAAACAGGGGAACAUGGUGCCAACACUAGGUGCAAGUGCAGUUGUGAUGGCUUUCCAACUGUGUGACCAGGUGAGCCUAGCAGGGUUUGGGUAUGAUAUGCAGCACCUAGAGGCCAGGCUUCACUACUAUGAGACCAUACGCAUGGGAGCUAUGAAAUCUCAAGUGGUGCAUGACAUCAGUGCUGAGAAACUCUUCUUGAGGGACCUGGUGGCUGCAGGAGCUGUGACUGACCUCAUAGGAGCUCUGUGAAUCACCAGUACAGGGACUGAUAAUAUACUCUACACACACUCCUCCCUCUCACCAUGAGCCCGGACGGGGUCCUCCAUAACUUCGCCCUGCUGGAGGAAUCCUACACAGCGUGGACUGACCUUUCAAAUGCCCACAGUCUCCAGGGCUGACUGAUGAGUGAGCAAAUAAAACUCUAAAAGCUCAGACGCGGUGCGUUCUGUGAUGUUGAGCGACGGCGCAAUCAUUUGGCCGGUGGAUCGGUCCACGCAGAUAAAAUGGAUGAGGCCCGGGAAAUCCUCCAGGAAGUCCUUCCAGUCCAUCAGUUUCUCUCUGGGAGAGACAGGGUGACAGGAAAGGGAUAAACAUAUAGAAAAAGAUGAAGAAAGAAAGGAGAUACAGACAUUAACAACGAAAGAUGUCGUUGUGGACUGUCUUAGUUGAAAAAUAGCUAAAUGAUGUUCAGCUGACUGAUACGCACUGCACCAUGGUCUGGGCUCGUUCCUGCAGACCGGGGGAGAGAUGUCGAGGAAUGUCGGCUGGUCCACAGUCAAUAAGAAAACACUGUCGGUAUAUUCCACACAGCUGGGUCUUCAAAUUCUUACACCAUGGGAUGAGCCUAAAACAAAAACAGAGUGCGAUCACUCAAAGGAUGAUCCCAACGGCUUUGCUCUGAUGCAUUUCGGCCAGCAGAGGGCUGCAGUGGACUUACUCUUUGCUGAACCCAGGUCCCCCUCUGGCGAAGGCUCGGCUCUUGAAUUCUGUCCAGACAUUUUGUAGCUGUGCAGACUGGAUAGAAGACAAAAGGAACAAAAGCAGAUUGCAUUUAAGCGUAAAAUAAAAAAGUGAAACUAUUA